rnacentral:rRNA from 1 species
AGAGUUUGAUCAUGGCUCAGAUUGAACGCUGGCGGCAUGCUUUACACAUGCAAGUCGAACGCGAAAGGGGGGCAACCCCUGAGUAGAGUGGCGCACGGGUGAGUAAUGCAUCGGAACGUGUCUGGUAGUGGGGGACAACCAGUCGAAAGAUUGGCUAAUACCGCAUACGCUGGAGACAGGAAAGCGGGGGACCUGGCAACAGGCCUUGCGCUAUCGGGGCGGCCGAUGCCCGAUUAGCUAGUUGGCGGGGUAAGAGCCCACCAAGGCUUCGAUCGGUAGCUGGUCUGAGAGGACGGCCAGCCACACUGGGACUGAGACACGGCCCAGACUCCUACGGGAGGCAGCAGUGGGGAAUAUUGGACAAUGGGGGAAACCCUGAUCCAGCGACGCCGCGUGUGUGAAGAAGGCCUGCGGGUUGUAAAGCACUUUCGGUGGGAACGAAAUAUGCCGGGCUAAUACCCCGGUAGGCUGACGUACUCAAGAAGAGACCCG